rnacentral:lncRNA from 1 species
GAUAAAGAGACUACCCUGUUGAAGAGUAGCUAAUUCAUGUUCAACCUGAAAUCUUCUAGCAGUAUUGUGUUGGUUGUAGAGUUUCUUUAAAUAAGUCCACAUCUCAGCUGCAGUUUUGAAGGGUUGGAGGUUCAAGAUGAUAUUCGAAUCAAUAGAUCCUAGAAUCCAUGCCAUGAUUUAAGCAUCCUUGACCUCCUACUCAGCAUGCUCAUCUUUUUCUUUAUCUUUGUCUGGGGCAGGUUUUGCUGCCAUCAAUAUGGGCCCAUAAAUCUUUC